GUAGGGAAUCUUCCGCAAUGGACGAAAGUCUGACGGAGCAACGCCGCGUGAGUGAUGAAGGUUUUCGGAUCGUAAAGCUCUGUUGUUAGGGAAGAACAAGUGCCGUUCGAAUAGGGCGGCACCUUGACGGUACCUAACCAGAAAGCCACGGCUAACUACGUGCCAGCAGCCGCGGUAAUACGUAGGUGGCAAGCGUUGUCCGGAAUUAUUGGGCGUAAAGGGCUCGCAGGCGGUUUCUUAAGUCUAAUGUGAAAGCCCCCGGCUCAACCGGGGAGGGUCAUUGGAAACUGGGGAACUUGAGUGCAGAAGAGGAGAGUGGAAUUCCACGUGUAGCGGUGAAAUGCGUAGAGAUGUGGAGGAACACCAGUGGCGAAGGCGACUCUCUGGUCUGUAACUGACGCUGAGGAGCGAAAGCGUGGGGAGCGAACAGGAUUAGAUACCCUGGUAGUCCACGCCGUAAACGAUGAGUGCUAAGUGUUAGGGGGUUUCCGCCCCUUAGUGCUGCAGCUAACGCAUUAAGCACUCCGCCUGGGGAGUACGGUCGCAAGAC
rnacentral:rRNA from 1 species